GGAGACCUCGAAGAUGACAAAGGAGAGUGCUGAACUUCCCAGGAAUGAGCCUAUGGCACUCCAGGCACUUACAAUUACGUCAAAGUGAGUCCUAACGUUAUGCAUAACAAUUAGGAGCCAAUUAAUAAAAGAAGUGACAUGGGGCUCCUGAGGCCACCCCAUCUGAGGCCCGUGGAAGUGACACGAGGAGGCUUCCACACUGGAGGCUCACAGAGACCGUCCCUCAGCGGCACUCUGGCCCUUAGCGGAUGUGUGUUCCUCCUCCUGUUUCUGAGCAAGUCCCCUGUGGUCUUCCUGUCCCACUGUAGGCCUCACCUUUUCCUGGGAGGACAGUGGCCUCAGCCUCCUGGCCUUGCUGCCUCCUGCCUCUCCCUGCCAGCUGUUCCCCUGGCCCAUAGCUGUCCCUGCCUGCAGCAGGCCACUCCCAGCUGGGCAGGGCCCAUCCCCCACUUCUUGACCAUCAUGGCCCUUGCACCUUAGGGAUGGUGGAGGCUGACUGUGCUGGAGGCCCAGGGGACCCACAGGGCAGCCCCUCCACCCGUCACCCCUUCACACACGGCUGGCAGAGUCCAGUCAGCUCAGCCCUGCCCCAGCUGAGCCCGCUGCCAUUUCCUCCCAAACACUCACUUUAAACAAGUGGGGGAUGAGCCAUCGGUAAGUGGGACGGCACUCAGGUGGCGGUGCCUCCACACCAUGGCGGCUGGACCAUGGAGCUUUAGGAUGCUCUCUGCAGUGCCCUGCAUCAGAGCUGCCCAAGCCAGUGUCGUGGUGCUUGACCUCUCGGCCUCGCUGGGGAGCACCCAGGCACGGGCAGCCUCAGUUUUCCCCUGUGAUGCAGAUGGCGCCACCUGACAUUGGCUGUUGCGUGUUCUCCCAGGGCUGCGGCGGCAAGUUACCAGAACGUCGGUUGCUUCAGACAACAGAAAUUUGUCCUUUCCCAGGGAGGAAGCCAGAAGCCCUGGACCUGGGCGUCUGUAGGGUGGUUCUCCCUCGGGGGCUCCAGCGGGCUCCUCCUGGCCCCUGGCAGCUGUGGGCUGUGGGCACCCUGGUGGCCACCUCUGUGUGGCCUUCUCCUCUGCCUGUCUUCUUUCCACCUUUCAUGAGGACACUUGUCACUGACUUGGGGCCCACUCUCAUCCAGGAUGAUCUCAUCUCGAUCCUCACCUGACAUUGGCAAAGACCCUUUCCCCAAAUAAGGCCACAUUCCCGGGUUCUGGGGUAUUUUGGUGGCCCCCUCUGUCCACUCCAGCGGUGUCGUGAGAGGCUGAGGGAUGUCCAGGCAGCAGGCGAGCCCCGGUGUCCAGCGCUGGGAACCUGCACCAGGGCAAGCCUUGUGGCCUUGAACGGCUGCCUGCCCCCUCCCCACCUGGGAAGUGGCAGCUCCUGUGGUUGUGGGGGCACGUGAAGAGGUCGUGGGCAAAAGGCUGCUGGUCCCUCCCCGUCAGUCCUACAUGGUGGAGCUGAGGCCGUCCGUGGAGGGGACUUGCCAGCGUCCAUGGUGGAUAGUGGUUGGAGGUGAAGACUCUUGGCCUCCCAUCCAGUGCCCAUGUUGGGGUCCUGCUGUGCCCGGGCGCUGGGCUGAAGGCCUGCUGGCCUAGAGAAGGACACCAGGCUUGGUUCCUGCCUCCUUACUCACCCUCACCCAUGUCACCGGGGUGUGGAGACCGGUCCUUCUUACAGGAAGGGGCCAUGCCUGGGACUGGCCCAUGGGCGAGGGAGCUCCCUUCCUCCCCUUCCAGGCCCUGCCUGGGACCCUCUGAGCCGCGUGGCUGGUGUGCUGUCUUGGGCUGGAGGUGGGGCACCUGGUGUGGCUCUGGAAAGCGUUGGCACCUCCUCUUGGGCAGAAGGAGUGAGAAACCCAUCAUGGGAUAAGGACAAAGUGCUUGAGAGGCCAGGGAGGAGCUGGCGUUCCGUGUGGGUCUUGACGGUGAGUAGCAGCUCAUUAAAGUGCAGUAGGCAUCUGUAGCUGUGGACACAACUGCCCACCAAUUUAGGGGUGCAUUUGCUUACACCCAUUGGUUAUUUCAUGGUUUCCAUAGUUAGGAAUGUGAGAGCGGCUCAGACGAGUGGUUCAGGCUUAACGUUUCUCACAAGGAUUCAAUCAAGGUGACCCCAGGUCUUCGGUCAUCUCAAGAUUUGCCUGGGAGGUCACUCACCUGGGUCUCCCUGUGGCUUCCCCAGAGUGGGCCAUCCAAGAGAGAGCAAGACCGAAGUUGUAGCUUUUUGUUAACCUGAUUUUGAUGUGAUGACCCAUCUCUCUGCCGUGUUUUUGUUUGUGAGAGGUGAGUCACAAAACCAGCCCACUCUCCAGGACAUGAAUUCCAGGAGGUGGGGGGCAUGGGGGCAUGUCAGAACCUGCUGACCCCGUGGGGUUUUGGGGUGUCUGGUAGACAGCUGGUACGUGACCCUGGUGAGCUGGUUAAUGAAUCAUGAAUGAGCACCACCACGGAAGGGUCUGCAUUCUCUCGUGACUGCAAUGUCACACGCUAUUGUAGUCGUUAGCAGAAAAAGCUCACAUUUCUUCCUUCAUGGUCGUCCAUGAGGAAGGGGCUGCUCAGAGAUGAGGACGCUGAGGGCCUUGGGCUGGUAGAGAGGCCUUUCAGCCUUCGAGAGCAUGUCCCUCAGCCCGGGGCUGGGCUCCACCCUGCACCUAAUGAGGGUGCUCCAUAAGGUCCCCUGAGGGAGGGGACAGCCUCUACACAGUGCCUCUUCCCUCAGGCAGAUGGCGGAAUGUGGACAGCCCCAAGGUCAUUUCAGGGUUGACAGUGGUUGAUUUAUUUGCUAUUUUUGUUCAGAGGAAGGUGGUGACAUUUCAACGCUGCAGGAGCACAUGUCCCGGGUUGGCAAAAACAGGAAGGCGUCACAUUUAGCCGGAGGCCAUCCUGCGUGGCCUGGACACAUCUUCCUGUCCUAGCCCUGCAGGGAGGCAGCUCCCUGGACAGCCCGCUGCAGGUGCACAUGCCCAGUGUGGGCGCAGGGUUCACGGUGCCCAGGAAGGCUCUUGGUCCUGCUGUUUGUGCAGCAGGAACUCAGCUCUGUGCUUUCCACAGAAGCUCCCAGCCCCAGGCCCCCCUGGACCGUGAGGCUCUGAGAGGAGUCCAGGCCCAGGGAGGAGCGGCCCCUGGGGAGCAGGCAGGGACCCUCCCUGGCCGUGGCUUCUGUCUGCCUGCUCAGCUGGCCAGCAGACGGGUGACGGUCCCUGUGAGAACAAGAGACAAAUGGCCUGGGCCAGGACGGUGUCCUGUCCUGGGGUCGUCGCCCUCAGAGCCCAGUGUAGCUGCACCCCGAGGUCCAGGCUUCCGGUUGCAGCUCGCAUCAUUCUGCUGGAGAACCUUGGCCACAGCCUUCCCACUGAAGGAAGGUCCCAGUCUUCCUUCCCACCCUGCAGCCCCUCCCGCUGGAGCCUGCACAGCUGGGUCUCAGGAGGACAAAAGGAAUGGAGAUCCUUUCUGCUUCCCCUCCUGAAGGGUGGAGCAGCAGGAAACAGACCUUUAGAGAAGACGGACUGAGCAGACCGUUGUCCCAGUGCUGGCCAGAGGAGGCCAGGCCUGCAUAUCCCUGGUCCUGCCGAGGACCCAUCUGCCAGGGCAGCCCAGGACAGCACCGUGGGGGGCUGUGCACCCCCACGUCCACCCUGCUGUGGCUGCACAUUUUCUUUCCAAGUUUGGCCUCCAUGCCAGGGCCGACUUCCUUCAGAUCCUUCAUCUCCUGCUGCUUAAGGGCCUCAAGUGACAGCUGGAUGACACAAAAUCCUUGAUGAUGAGGCUCUCUCAGCCCAGGUCCAGGAAGAUCCGUUCUUUUCCACCCUCCUCC